AGAAGCCAUUUCUCUGUCCACACUUUUUUAUAUACACAGAUUACCACUGUGGUUGGUGAUGAAUUGUAAGAAGCUGAUCUGAAAUUUAUAUUUUCUUAUAAUUGUAGGUCUGCAUUAUUGUAAGCAGAACCAAAACUUGGAAGGUUUUUCAGCAUCUCUAUUACCUGAAUAUGAAAUGCUGAGUAGACAAUGUUAGUGAAAAUAGACAGUACAAAGUGGAGAUUGUUGUGGCAUCAUAUAUUGAAGACAUAUAUGUGCAGGGAAACUGCAAUCACCGUCCAGACCACCGCUAGUGUGCAAAACCUGCUACCAGCCUUCUGAAACUGCAGUGGUCAAGGUGGAUGUCAAGACUAGAGAGUACACCGCUCAUUUUGUCAGAUGAUAAAUGGUGUGAAUUUCAUUUGUCAGCAGCAAACAUUAGGAUGAAUGUUAAGCCAGUACGUGUAACGGCAACAUGAGAAAAUGGGUAAACGGUAAAAGUUUCCUGUAGACUGACUCAUCAACCACAAACAUAAGGUCUGCAGACCAUUGUACUAACAUGCGUUUACGUAUCCGGUUUGGUUCUAACCCCUGCAGAGUGACCUUUGUACUUUAUGGCUGUUUGAAGAUGGUAUCAGCUGUCAAUUGACGUAUUAGGUGAAUAUCAUAUCCAGACACACAUUUAAAAACUACAUUAAAUCUUAA